GAUGAACGCUAGCGGCAGGCCUAAUACAUGCAAGUCGGACGGGAUUCAGGAGCUUGCUUCUGAUGAGAGUGGCGCACGGGUGCGUAACACGUAUGUAACCUACCUUUAUCAGGGGGAUAGCCUCUCGAAAGAGAGAUUAAGCCCGCAUAAAAUCACAGCACAGCAUUGUGUAAUGAUCAAAUAUUUAUAGGAUAAAGAUGGGCAUGCGGAACAUUAGCUAGAUGGCGGGGUAACGGCCCACCAUGGCGACGAUGUUUAGGGGAUCUGAGAGGAUGGCCCCCCACACUGGGACUGAGACACGGACCAGACGCCUACGGGAGGCAGCAGUAAGGAAUAUUGGUCAAUGGGCGGAAGCCUGAACCAGCCAUGCCGCGUGCAGGAAGACGGCCCUACGGGUUGUAAACUGCUUUUAUACGGGAAUAAACCCAGAUACGUGUAUCUGGCUGAAUGUACUGUAAGAAUAAGGAUCGGCUAACUCCGUG
rnacentral:rRNA from 1 species